rnacentral:lncRNA from 1 species
CCACCCCAGCAGCAGCAGUACCCAGGGCAGCAAGGUUACCCAGGACAGCAGCAGGGCUACGGUCCUUCACAGGGUGGUCCAGGUCCUCAGUAUCCUAACUACCCACAGGGACAAGGUCAGCAGUAUGGAGGAUAUAGACCAACACAGCCUGGACCACCACAGCCACCCCAGCAGAGGCCUUAUGGAUAUGACCAGAAUUCUAGGUGGACAGUUUG